rnacentral:lncRNA from 1 species
UAAUUUCUUCUAUACAUCUCCUAAGAAUAAGGGCAUUUUUUUUUUUUUUUGAGAAGGAGUCUCACUCUGUCACCCAGGCUGGGGUGCAGUGGUGCAAUCUUGGCUGACUGCAACCUCCACCUCCUGGGUUCAAGCGAUUCUCCUGCCUCAGCCCCCCAAGUAGCUGGGAUUACAGAUGCCACUGCGAGAACGGGAACAAUGGAACAGGCCCUCACCAAAUGCCAAAUGUGCUAUCACCUUGAUUUUGGAUUUCCCAGCCUCCGGAACUGUGAGGAAUAAAUUUUUUUACUUAUAAAUUACUUAGUCUCAGGUAUUUUGUUACAGCAGCACAAACAGACUAAGACAGAAAUUGAGUGUAUUUUCUUGUGCUUAUUGGCCAUUUAUUUUCUUUCUUUUA